rnacentral:lncRNA from 1 species
AGAAAAGAGUAUGGCUAUAGCAGAGAAGAGGGUCUUGAACUGAUAAAUGAUACCUGGGAACUUCCAACAUUUCUAUUGGACCCAAGGGAGAGAAACAAGCAACAGAUACUUACAGAGGAGCAUCUGGUUCACUAAGAAGAAAACCUAAAAGAGAAUGUGUCAUGACAGAAACCAAAACCAGACUGCACUUCGGGAUGGAGGGAGCAGACAGUUGCAUGGAACGCUAUCCCUGAUGCAAUGGGGUGGGAUACAUCAACCAUCCAGUGCCUAUUUGCUAAGGACCUGCAGUGUGCAAGGAACUAAGGGAACACAGAGGAUCAUCAGGCAAGGAUUUUAUGCAACAGAAGCUUGCAAUGCAGAACUGAAGAAAUAAGAUGAUCACCCACAUCAAAUUCUAUUUUCUUUGGCAUCUGAGUUCACCAAAGAAGAAAGGAAUUUCCCUGAGAGAAACAUGUCAAAAUAAAGUUUUGUACUGGAAUUUCCUAAUCUCCUGAUGCCUUUGGAAAGUAAAACAAUGGCACAUUGGGACAAAGGUAAUAGCAAAAUUUGUCAUUAAGAUUUCUGCCCUU